rnacentral:lncRNA from 10 species
AGUCAACUCACUUAAUAAAUCUUCUAUCUAUCAUCUAUCUAUCUAUUCAUCUAUUGUUUCUGUCUGUCUCUGGGGAACUCUGAUUAAUACAGAACUGAUAAAUAAGAAUCUAGAAAGUGUGGAGUUCUGAUUGAAAAUAAUCCUUAGGCCAAAGGAAUAAUAAGUGUGGGGCCAGAGGCACUUUCUAUGGAGUAUUGACUAAGAGAACAAGAAUGAAAUUGAAAGACGGGGAAGCUAUCAGUGAAAAUACACUGUUCCUGGGCCCGAAACUAACUGGAUAUAUGGAUGCAAGCAAAAUCUUUGG